rnacentral:lncRNA from 1 species
GAUGAGAGGCAGCUCUUCUGAGUUAAUGUAAUGCUGCUCAGAGAUGUAGGAGGUGAUAUCUCACUGCUGAGGAUGCUUGAACCUCCCGUCCCCACCUCUGCCAAGACAUGGCUGCAAGCUGGAUGCAAAUACCUGCUGGCAAGAUUUGGGUGGGGAAGCACUGGCUGUGGAAUGUCAUGUGUUACCUGUCAGCUCUCAAAAUGACACUUGGGCCUGAGUGGUUUGCAAAGGAAAAAAAGCAGGAAACUGAGUCUCACUCAUUUUGCUCACUUCUUGCAUCAUCGUAUAAAUGGCACCUUAUCAAAAAGAUGAAUUUUUGAUUAGCAGAGGACAACAUAUUAGAAGUUAGUUGGACUAAUCAGGCUUCAGUUGCUGCUGUUAAAAC